UCUCCUCCAGCUCUCAACAAGGGGAGUAAGAGUGGAGAUAUCCAGCCCCCCAACCCCUCCAUAAGGGGAGGAGGACAGAUAUGACACCCCCCCUAUUCCCCACAGAAAACAGGGACAGAAAAGAUCCUUAUCCAGCAUCGACAAUGGAGGGUGCAGAGGCCCCGACAGAAAAUUCUCCCCUCCAUGGAGAUCUCCUCCAGCCUUUACCAAGAGGAUGAGGCUGGACACAAUCCAACCCCUCCAUCACAGAGGAGUUGGAACGGUGGAUGCGGAGGCCUCAACUCAGAGUUCUCCGCUCCACGGAGAUCUCCUCCAGCCGUCAUCAAGGGGAGUAAGAGUGGAGAUAUCCAGUCCCCUGACCCCUCCAUAAGGGGAGGAGGACAGAUAUGACACCCCCCCUAUUCCCCACAGAAAACAAGGACAGAAAAGAUCCUUAUCCAGCAUUGACAAUGGAGGGUGCGGAGGCCCUGACAGAAAAUUCUCCCCUCCAUGGAGAUCUCCUCCAGCUCUCAUCAAGGGGAGUACAAGUAGAGAUAUCCAGUCCCCCAACCCCUCCAUAAUGGGAGGACAGAUAUGACACCUCCUCUAAUCCCCACAGAGAACAAGGACAGUAAUUAUCUUUAUCUAGCAUCGACAAUGGAGGGUGCGGAGGCCCCGACAGAGAAUUCUCCGCUCCAUGGAGAUCUCCUCCAGCCUUUACCAAGAGGAUGAGGCUGGACACAAUCCAACCCCUCCAUCACAGAGGAGUUGGAACGGUGGAUGCGGAGGCCUCAACUCAGAGUUCUCCGCUCCACGGAGAUCUCCUCCAGCCGUCAUCAAGGGGAGUAAGAGUGGAGAUAUCCAGUCCCCUGACCCCUCCAUAAGGGGAGGAGGACAGAUAUGACACCCCCCCUAUUCCCCACAGAAAACAAGGACAGAAAAGAUCCUUAUCCAGCAUUGACAAUGGAGGGUGC